GACGAACGCUGGCGGCGUGCUUAACACAUGCAAGUCGAGCGAUGAAGCUUUCUUCGGAAAGUGGAUUAGCGGCGGACGGGUGAGUAACACGUGGGUAACCUGCCUCAUAGAGGGGAAUAGCCUUUCGAAAGGAAGAUUAAUACCGCAUAAGAUUGUAAUAUCGCAUGGUAUAGCAAUUAAAGGAGUAAUCCGCUAUGAGAUGGACCCGCGUCGCAUUAGCUAGUUGGUGAGGUAACGGCUCACCAAGGCGACGAUGCGUAGCCGACCUGAGAGGGUGAUCGGCCACAUUGGGACUGAGACACGGCCCAGACUCCUACGGGAGGCAGCAGUGGGGAAUAUUGCACAAUGGGGGAAACCCUGAUGCAGCAACGCCGCGUGAGUGAUGAUGGUCUUCGGAUUGUAAAGCUCUGUCUUUAGGGACGAUAAUAACGGUACCUAAGGAGGAAGCCACGGCUAACUACGUGCCAGCAGCCGCAGUAAUAC
rnacentral:rRNA from 1 species